rnacentral:rRNA from 1 species
GAUGAACGCUGGCGGCGUGCCUAAUACAUGCAAGUCGAGCGAACGGACGAGAAGCUUGCUUCUCUGAUGUUAGCGGCGGACGGGUGAGUAACACGUGGAUAACCUACCUAUAAGACUGGGAUAACUUCGGGAAACCGGAGCUAAUACCGGAUGAUAUUUUGAACCGCAUGGUUCAAAAGUGAAAGACGGUCUUGCUGUCACUUAUAGAUGGAUCCGCGCUGUAUUAGCUAGUUGGUAAGGUAACGGCUUACCAAGGCAACGAUGCAUAGCCGACCUGAGAGGGUGAUCGGCCACACUGGAACUGAGACACGGUCCAGACUCCUACGGGAGGCAGCAGUAGGGAAUCUUCCGCAAUGGGCGAAAGCCUGACGGAGCAACGCCGCGUGAGUGAUGAAGGUCGUCGGAUCGUAAAACUCUGUUAUUAGGGAAGAACAUAUGUGUAAGUAACUGUGCACAUCUUGACGGUACCUAAUCAGAAAGCCACGGCUAACUACGUG